UGGACGUUGGGAAGAAAGAUUGUAGG
rnacentral:piRNA from 1 species